rnacentral:rRNA from 1 species
GGUAUUGAUUGGUGCUUGCAUCAUGAUUUACAUUUGAGUGAGUGGCGAACUGGUGAGUAACACGUGGGAAACCUGCCCAGAAGCGGGGGAUAACACCUGGAAACAGAUGCUAAUACCGCAUAACAACUUGGACCGCAUGGUCCGAGUUUGAAAGAUGGCUUCGGCUAUCACUUUUGGAUGGUCCCGCGGCGUAUUAGCUAGAUGGUGGGGUAACGGCUCACCAUGGCAAUGAUACGUAGCCGACCUGAGAGGGUAAUCGGCCACAUUGGGACUGAGACACGGCCCAAACUCCUACGGGAGGCAGCAGUAGGGAAUCUUCCACAAUGGACGAAAGUCUGAUGGAGCAACGCCGCGUGAGUGAAGAAGGGUUUCGGCUCGUAAAACUCUGUUGUUAAAGAAGAACAUAUCUGAGAGUAACUGUUCAGGUAUUGACGGUAUUUAACCAGAAAGCCACGGCUAACUACGUGCCAGCAGCCGCGGUAAUACGUAGGUGGCAAGCGUUGUCCGGAUUUAUUGGGCGUAAAGCGAGCGCAGGCGGUUUUUUAAGUCUGAUGUGAAAGCCUUCGGCUCAACCGAAGAAGUGCAUCGGAAACUGGGAAACUUGAGUGCAGAAGAGGACAGUGGAACUCCAUGUGUAGCGGUGAAAUGCGUAGAUAUAUGGAAGAACACCAGUGGCGAAGGCGGCUGUCUGGUCUGUAACUGACGCUGAGGCUCGAAAGUAUGGGUAGCAAACAGGAUUAGAUACCCUGGUAGUCCAUACCGUAAACGAUGAAUGCUAAGUGUUGGAGGGUUUCCGCCCUUCAGUGCUGCAGCUAACGCAUUAAGCAUUCCGCCUGGGGAGUACGGCCGCAAGGCUGAAACUCAAAGGAAUUGACGGGGGCCCGCACAAGCGGUGGAGCAUGUGGUUUAAUUCGAAGCUACGCGAAGAACCUUACCAGGUCUUGACAUACUAUGCAAAUCUAAGAGAUUAGACGUUCCCUUCGGGGACAUGGAUACAGGUGGUGCAUGGUUGUCGUCAGCUCGUGUCGUGAGAUGUUGGGUUAAGUCCCGCAACGAGCGCAACCCUUAUUAUCAGUUGCCAGCAUUA